UCUCCGUAGGUGAACCUGCGGAGGGAUCAUUACUGAGUGAGGGUUUAACCGCCCGACCUCCAACCCUUUUGUGAACCACCUCGUUGCUUCGGGGGCGACCCUGCCGUUCGCGGCGUGGGGCCCCCGGAGGCCUUCAAACACUGCAUCUUUGCGUCGGAGUUUAAGUAAAUUAAACAAAACUUUCAACAACGGAUCUCUUGGUUCUGGCAUCGAUGAAGAACGCAGC
rnacentral:misc_RNA from 1 species